AUCUUAUCGAGAGUGGUGGAGGGACUGGCCCUUUGAAACCCGACAACCAGCAUUUUUAUUUAAGUGCAAGGUGUUAAUUCCAGCAGAAUAUUCUGAAAGAUAAGGA
rfam:Clostridium tyrobutyricum DIVETGP, WGS project CBXI01000000 data, contig: NODE_4